rnacentral:lncRNA from 1 species
UGAAGCUGGUUCAUCACUAGUGCACACUGAACCUGUAUUUCUUCUUGUCAGCUUCGGAACCACCAAUAACCAUAUAGGCAGCCACGAUUACUAACUACCAACUAAACUAAAGUGAACGGUUCAUAACCAUCCAAGAUUUGCUGUUCUGAAGUUUAUCGGUGAUCAGCUGGUUCUGUGUCUUGCACUUCAGCUUAAGUUCCCAAUGCAUCUCAUUUCCAACGGAGACCUCGGCCCGUCACAAAUGUUUUAGUCUUCACACUAUCCUGCACUCGUUGCCUUGUUAUUUCGUAGAAAAGAAGUGUGGUUUCUUUUCUUUUUGGCUGUUGGAGCUGCCACACUGGUAAGCAAAAUGAUUUCUUCUCUUUUUUUUUUCCCUCUCGACGGGUGAAUCUUGUCAUAUACUCCCUCC